rnacentral:rRNA from 1 species
GUCGAGCGGACAGAUGGGAGCUUGCUCCCUGAUGUUAGCGGCGGACGGGUGAGUAACACGUGGGUAACCUGCCUGUAAGACUGGGAUAACUCCGGGAAACCGGGGCUAAUACCGGAUGCUUGAUUGAACCGCAUGGUUCAAUUAUAAAAGGUGGCUUUUAGCUACCACUUACAGAUGGACCCGCGGCGCAUUAGCUAGUUGGUGAGGUAACGGCUCACCAAGGCAACGAUGCGUAGCCGACCUGAGAGGGUGAUCGGCCACACUGGGACUGAGACACGGCCCAGACUCCUACGGGAGGCAGCAGUAGGGAAUCUUCCGCAAUGGACGAAAGUCUGACGGAGCAACGCCGCGUGAGUGAUGAAGGUUUUCGGAUCGUAAAACUCUGUUGUUAGGGAAGAACAAGUACCGUUCGAAUAGGGCGGUACCUUGACGGUACCUAACCAGAAAGCCACGGCUAACUACGUGCCAGCAGCCGCGGUAAUACGUAGGUGGCAAGCGUUGUCCGGAAUUAUUGGGCGUAAAGCGCGCGCAGGCGGUUUCUUAAGUCUGAUGUGAAAGCCCCCGGCUCAACCGGGGAGGGUCAUUGGAAACUGGGGAACUUGAGUGCAGAAGAGGAGAGUGGAAUUCCACGUGUAGCGGUGAAAUGCGUAGAGAUGUGGAGGAACACCAGUGGCCAAAGGCGACUCUCUGGGUCUGGUAACUGACGCUUAAGGCGCGAAAAGCGUGGGGGAGCGAAACAGGGAUUAAGAUACCCCUGGGU